GCCAGGCAUGAUGACUCACAUGAAGUCCCAGCUACCAGGGAGGCUGAGGUAGGAGGAUUGCUUGAGCCCAGGAGUUCUGAGCUGCAGAGAGCUAUGCCAAUCAGUUGUCCACACUAAACUUGUCAUCAAUAUGGUGACCUCCCAGGAGUGGGGAACCAGCAUGGUGCCUAAGGAGGGGUUAACUGAUCCAGGUAAGAAAUGGAACAGGUCAAAAACUCCUGUGCUGGUCAGUGAGAUCAUGCCUGUGAACAACCAUUGCACUCCAACUUGGGAAUUUAGUGAGAUCUUGUCUUA
rnacentral:SRP_RNA from 1 species